GACGCUAUGGUGUAGUGGCAGCACAUGGGAUUUUGAUAUAGCUCCAAAUUCCCAUAACCCAGGUUCGAACCCUGGUAGUGUCU